GACGGAGGAUGCAAGCGUUAUCCGGAAUGAUUGGGCGUAAAGCGUCCGCAGGUGGCAGUUCAAGUCUGCUGUCAAAGACCGGGGCUUAACUUCGGAAAGGCAGUGGAAACUGAACAGCUAGAGUAUGGUAGGGGCAGAGGGAAUUCCUGGUGUAGCGGUGAAAUGCGUAGAGAUCAGGAAGAACAUCGGUGGCGAAGGCGGCAUCCUGGACCGAUACUGACGCUGAGGAGCGAAAGCCAGGGGAGCAAACGGG
rnacentral:rRNA from 1 species